AGCUCUGAGGUCACUUAAAAUGUGUAUGACGUUGAAAGUCAAAUCGAGUAUUUUUUUUUCUUUUAUAACUGUUAACAAAAUAUGUCUGUCCACGUCUUAAAAUAACCAUGCAUUUCAAAAUACCUGAAGACCGACGUUUCCACAUCCAAGCCGAUAAUUGAGCUGCACACUGGGGGCUGCUGGGAUUGACUUCAGCUCCCUUUGAGACCCUGAAUACUUAAGAAGGAAGAGGAAGAAACAGAGAGGAGAGGGGAAUGGUAGCAGCUCACUGCUCCCUCCCUGUCGAUGAUGUAAUGUCAUGAAUAUUGAAACAGGUUCCUCGGUGCUCGGGAGGCGCUGGAGUCAGCAUCCCUUCUGCCUCCUGCUCAUCAUCACCACUGCCCUUCAGCAUCCGACAAAUCAACAAGAAAAAGCGGAGCAGAUAUUGAUGAAGGGAAUGGACGAUGCUGAGGAUGAGCUGAGUCUCUGACACCAUGAUGAACCCAUCCUCCGCCGACUCGGCGCGGCAGUCAGACAAUAGCAGCCGCAAACAGCCGCGCUCCUCAUCGCCGGCAGGACUCAAAGACGGUGGCUCGAAGGCUGCUGCACAGAAGGGCAGCAACUCCUCCAAGCUGCUCACAUCAAAGCAGGGAGGAGUAGGUGGUGCAGGAGGCAGUGGAGGUGGUGGUGGUGGUGGUGGAGG